rnacentral:lncRNA from 1 species
UGCUAGCCUAGUGCUUUCCUGCGGACGUGCGCUGCUGCCCAGCCUCAGGCUCCAGUCCUGCGCUGGCUGCUGCUGGCUGUCGUCAGCGAUGCCGCCGCCGGCCACAAGGUGGCAGUGCCGUGCUGCGUGGCUACACGCCCCUGGAAGCACCGGACCAGCCUUGGUCUGGCAAAAGUUUUCCAGUCUUUCCAGCAGAUGCGCCCAGGCCGUGAGCCCUCCCGGGCGGCCUGGAGGCAAGGGAUCGGGUGGGGGUGGGGUAGCCGCCGAUGUCCUGGGUGGCUUUGGGGGCGAUUUGCAAAGGCAUGCAUUUGUUGUUAAGAGCUCGGAGAAACAGUUUGGGGGAGCCUGUCACAGAUGCAAAGUCUGUUGAUAUUUCCAGGAGUGUUUGGUUUGGUUUGGGCUUUAGGGACCUACAGCAAGCAUCGAUUCUCGUGGAGGCGAACAACACUGACAGCUACUCUUUGUCUCUCGUCGGGAUUCUGAACAGAGCCCGACGUCGCUUCCAUUUCAGAGAUAUAUGCCGCUGACACUACCUUGAGAGAGCUCCUGCCUCCAUGGUUCCUGACCUGCCUAGAAGGGGAGGGCGCAGGAGACUCUUGUUCUACAGCUGUCCUCGGGAUGCCCUCAAUUCCCAGGCGCAGGGAUAAGCUUGUCUGACCCCAUUUGACCCCGCCGCAGGCGCCAGGCGUCCUCAUUUAUUGCGAGGCCUAAGAGUCCUCAAGGCUUACUGCCUGCCUACCCCCCUCCCCCACCACCCGCCGCUCUUCGUUUUUUGGUGUUUUGUUUUGUUUUGUUUUGUUUUUCCUCUCCUUGUCCUGUGCGGGAAUCAUAUGCCUCCUUCCUGUUGUCUAAGCUCCCCUCUUCCGUAGGCACAAACCUGCCCCCUCUGCGUUUUUUACCUUAAAACAGGUGUUCUGAGGAUUGUCUCUAGUUCUGGCGACGUCUUGAAAGAACUGAGUCUGAGCGAGGCAGACAGACGGCAGCAUUAGUGGUGAUGGAGCUGCACUGCUAAAUGUGGAGAUGGGAGGGGAAACACACCUGGGCUUCCACAGGGCAGGAGAAGAUCUGUCACUUGGGCAGAGCCUUUGAGUCGCACUCAGGUGAUCUCCAGGUAUCUUUUGUCUGUUUUAACCUGACAUUCAUUUGCAUCUAACAGGACUCCCGAAAGAAGCCUGGUGUAACUGAGUCUGGAAUUUUUGCUGGGCUUGCUAGGUCUACACUCUCCCACCUGUGCUCCGAGGAGAGGUGUAGACUAUCUCUUGGAUUUUGCUUGGAGGAUGUCCUUUCCGGACUCAGGACCUAGGAGAGACCAGCAGGAAACAGAACAGAGUCUACAUAGGUGAAUAUCAAAGAAUCACCUGGAGAGAUUUACAGGGUGAGUGGCCUCCUAGUAGAAUAGGUUGGCUAUGCCACGGAACCAUUUUUAGGAGAUGUCCAGCAAUGGGGAGAGAAUUGAAAACCCCACAAGAUUAUUCCCCCAGGAGUGAGCCAGCAUGGAUGCAUUGCCAUAUUCCAGGUAUAUCACCACUCAGGCACAGUUGAACCUACUAGACCUACUGUGGUCUGAAUGUUGUUUCCCAUUCCCUAAUGUAUGUUGAAACCCAAUAUAUAAUGUGAUCAUAUUAGGAGGUGCGGUCUCUGGAGAUGUGAUUCAGUUAUGACUCAGAUACGCCCUUAUAAAGGAGGUGAUUGAAAAGGGUUGUCUUGGCCCCUUCAGUCAUGUGAGGAACACCCACACGUCACCACCUAUUCAGCAAGGAGUGGGCCCUCACCAGGCACCAAAUCUGCUAGCACCUUGGUCUUCAAAUUCUCACCCUCCAGAACAGCGAGUGAGCAAUACAUUCUCUGCUCUUCAAGUUUCCCCGAUUAAGGUGUUUUAUUACAGACAACAGACUGGGACAAAAGGCCUGAGUCACAGACCAGUGAUUGGCAAAACAGAGAAGCUGAAGCAACUGUACAGCAAGCAGGAGCUCACACACGGGAGCCUACCUCUGGGAAUGCCGAGAAGUCAAUGCAAUGGUCACAUCUCAGGUUGUCUGGACACACAGACGGUUCACAAAUCCCGGGAUGGACCAGGAAGGCCAUUCAGUGAGAUUGUGUUGAACUGGGGAGUGGUGACAGUAAACAUUGACAUUAUGGUCCUACAUACAUAUCAUACGUUCCAUUAGUGUCCUACAUAAGUUAUAACCUGCUUACUCCUCCCAGUGCCCUUGAGAGAUCAGCCUGCUAAUUCCCACUCCAGAGUCAGGGAAGCUAAGUGCUGGGGACUCAGGAAACUUGACUGCGUUUAUAGCCAGUGAGUGGCAAAGCUGAUGUUUGAAUCCGUGUUUCGUGUUUCAGAGUCUUGGGAAGCUACGGUUUUUGUCCAUGGGGCUGAGUUGCUACACCACCCUAGAUGGUGGGCUGAGGGGCCUCUUCUGAUGAACUCCCUUCAGAAUGCAUUCCCUUCACAUCUGUUACCUCUUGCGGUGUGGGUCGCUGCUCUGUGGAAGUUGGACAG